UGCAAGUCGAACGGUAACAGCACUUCGGUGGCUGACGAGUGGCGAACGGGUGAGUAAUACAUCGGAACGUGCCCGAGAGUGGGGGAUAACGCAGCGAAAGCUGUGCUAAUACCGCAUACGAUCUACGGAUGAAAGCAGGGGACCGCAAGGCCUUGCGCUCAUGGAGCGGCCGAUGGCAGAUUAGGUAGUUGGUGGGAUAAAAGCUUACCAAGCCGACGAUCUGUAGCUGGUCUGAGAGGACGACCAGCCACACUGGGACUGAGACACGGCCCAGACUCCUACGGGAGGCAGCAGUGGGGAAUUUUGGACAAUGGGCGAAAGCCUGAUCCAGCCAUGCCGCGUGCAGGAUGAAGGCCUUCGGGUUGUAAACUGCUUUUGUACGGAACGAAAAGGUCUUUUCUAAUAAAGAAGGCUCAUGACGGUACCGUAAGAAUAAGCACCGGCUAACUACGUGCCAGCAGCCGCGGUAAUACGUAGGGUGCAAGCGUUAAUCGGAAUUACUGGGCGUAAAGCGUGCGCAGGCGGUUAUAUAAGACAGAUGUGAAAUCCCCGGGCUCAACCUGGGAACUGCAUUAGUGACUGUAUAGCUAGAGUGCGGCAGAGGGGGAUGGAAUUC
rnacentral:rRNA from 1 species